UUAUUUAUUUAUUUAUUUUCUAGAGUGUCCAGAAGCGGGCAACUUUUUGUCGUCAUUGUCAUCAAAAGACCAGUCUCAUCAUCUUAAUAUCAUCUUAAUGCUGGAUGUGUUUCAUCUUUUGUCUUCUCCAGAUGUUCACUGAUGGACUGGAGUGCUGUGGAUUAUUGUGAGGUUUUUAUCUGCUCUCAUUCUGAUGGCACCCAUUCACUGCAGAGCAUCCAUUGAUCUCCAGGAGGAGAUUUUUUUUUUUUUUUUUUUUGGUAAUGUAAUGCUUGUAGUUUUGUGUGAGGUGUAGGUUAAGGGGAUAGAAAAUACAGUUUGUUCAGUACAAUAACCUUUUUAUUGUACCCUUACCAGUGUGUAUAGGCAUAGAGAUCUGUUUUAUUAUUUUUAUUAUUAUUAUAAUAUUAAUUUCAUUUAAUAAUAUAUUAGAGACCGGGAUAGGAAGUCUAAGGUGAGAUCUUUACCUAAUCCCAACCAUUUUCCAAAGUUCAGAGAGGGAGGCUCGAGCUGAGGUUAGGAUUUUUGUAAGUCCAAUCGACAGGUCCUGAGGGACCCGAAGACGGUUAUGCACUGUCCAUCCGUUCCACUGACCGCUUUGCACAAAGGCCUAUUAAUACAAACAGAAAGCCCACAAAUUAUCAUAACUGUGUAAAAUAAUGCAUCAUUUCAUUCUAAAUAAGCAUGCAAAUUUAAGAGAGAUUGGGCAAAAAAAAAAAAAAAAAAACUUUAACAGUUAUGUUUAAAAACACAGUGUUGCUUGAGUAAGUGCAAUUUAUAACCACUAGAUGGCAGCGGAAGACCACUAAUGGGCUCAUUCAGCUAAGUUGAACAGUACUGUUGAAAGAAUUCAUGAAUUCAUGCCAAAACAUUAAAAAAUUAACUGUUAUAACA